UGAAUACGAGACGCUAAGGCGUCGAAGUAGUGUAUGUCAUACUUCCAAGAAAAGCUUGCACUGUCAUAAGUAAAAAAUGCCUGUACCAUAACCGACACAGGUGGGUAGGUAGAGUAUACUAAGGGGCGCGAGAUAACUCUCUCUAAGGAACUCGGCAAAAUAACUCCGUAAUUUCGGGAGAAGGAGUACCUUAUUCUAUAAGGUUGCAAUAACAAGAUCCAAGCAACUGUUUAUCAAAAACACAGGUCUCCGCUAAGUCGUAAGACGAUGUAUGGGGGCUGACGCCUGCCCAGUGCCAGAAGGUUAAAGAAGUCGGUUAGCAUUAGCGAAGCUGGUAACUGAAGCCCUGGUGAACGGCGGCCGUAACUAUAACGGUCCUAAGGUAGCGAAAUUCCUUGUCGGGUAAGUUCCGACCCGCACGAAAGGCGUAAUGAUUUGGAUACUGUCUCGGAGAGGGGCUCGGUGAAAUAGACUUGUCUGUGAAGAUGCGGACUACCUGCACCAGGACAGAAAGACCCUAUGAAGCUUUACUGUAACUUGAAAUUGAAAUUGGACUUUAUUCGCGCAGUAUAGGUGGGAGGUGUUGAUUAUAAUCUUGCGGGAUUAUUGGAGCCAUCAGUGAGAUACCACUCUUGUAAUGUUAGAUUUCUAACUUUGAAUCAUUAUCUGGUCAAAGGACAGUUUCAGGCGGGCAGUUUGACUGGGGCGGUCGCCUCCCAAACGGUAACGGAGGCGUACAAAGGUUUCCUCUGAACGGGUAGAAAUCGUAUCUAGAGUGUAAAGGCAUAAGGAAGCUUGACUGUGAGACCUACAAGUCGAACAGGGACGAAAGUCGGUCUUAGUGAUCUGACGGUACUGAGUGGAAAGGCCGUCACUCAACGGAUAAAAGUUACUCUAGGAUAACAGGCUGAUCUCCCCCAAGAGUUCACAUCGACGGGGAGGUUUGGCACCUCGAUGUCGGCUCAUCGCAUCCUGGGGCGGUAGUACGUCCCAAGGGUUGGGCUGUUCGCCCAUGAAAGCGGUACGCGAGCUGGGUUCAGAACGUCGUGAGACAGUUCGGUCCAUAUCCGGUGUAGGCGUUAGAAUAUUGAGAGGAGCCUUCUUUAGUACGAGAGGACCGAGAAGGACAUACCUCUGGUGUACCAGUUAUCGUGCCAACGGUAAACGCUGGGUAGCUAUGUAUGGAGUGGAUAACCGCUGAAAGCAUCUAAGUGGGAAGCCCACCUCAAGAUAAGUAUUCU
rnacentral:rRNA from 1 species